rnacentral:lncRNA from 1 species
UUCUUCCUUACUUUAUUACCGUCGGCUGGCCUCUUUGGUGUCUCUGCUCGGAGAAGAGAAGAGAAGGGGAAGAGAGGAUGUUUCGGCUUAGCAACAACCUCAUCGGGGUGCUCAACUUCAUCACCUUUCUACUCUCGGUGCCCAUCCUGGGCGGCGGGAUAUGGCUGGCCACCCGCGGCGGCGGAACUGACUGCGAGAAGUUCCUGCAGACACCCAUGAUCGUGCUGGGUGCCUUCCUGAUGGCCGUCUCCCUCGCCGGUCUCGUCGGCGCCUGCUGCCGCAACUCCCUCCUCCUCUGGAUCUACCUCUUCGUCAUGUUUAUCCUCAUCCUCCUCCU